rnacentral:rRNA from 1 species
GUGCCAGCCGCCGCGGUAAGACGGAGGAUGCAAGUGUUAUCCGGAAUCACUGGGCGUAAAGCGUCUGUAGGUGGUUUAAUAAGUCAACUGUUAAAUCUUGAGGCUCAACCUCAAAAUCGCAGUCGAAACUAUUAGGCUAGAGUAUAGUAGGGGUAAAGGGAAUUUCCAGUGGAGCGGUGAAAUGCGUAGAGAUUGGAAAGAACACCGAUGGCGAAGGCACUUUACUGGGCUAUUACUAACACUCAGAGACGAAAGCUAGGGUAGCAAAUGGGAUUAGAUACCCCUGUAGUCC